CCUACGGGGAGCAGCAGUGGGGAAUAUUGGACAAUGGGGGGAACCCUGAUCCAGCGACGCCGCGUGAGUGAAGAAGUAUUUCGGUAUGUAAAGCUCUAUCAGCAGGGAAGAAAAUGACGGUACCUGACUACGAAGCCCCGGCUAACUACGUGCCAGCAGCCGCGGUAGUACGUAGGGGGCAAGCGUUAUCCGGAUUUACUGGGUGUAAAGGGAGCGUAGACGGUGCAGCAAGUCUGAUGUGAAAGGUCGGGGCCCAACCCCGGGACUGCAUUGGAAACGGUUGAACUGGAGUACAGGAGGGGCAGGCGGAAGUCCUAGUGUAGCGGUGAAAUGCGUAGAUAUUAGGAGGAACACCGGUGGCGAAGGCGGCCUGCUGGACUGUGACUGACGUUGAGGCCCGAAGGCGUGGGGAGCAAACAGGAUUAGAUACCCCUGUAGUC
rnacentral:rRNA from 1 species